CCUUUUUAUACGACCGCAAAAAAAUUUUGUGGUCGUAUAUUGGUAUGACGUUGGCGUCGUCGUCGUCGUCGUCCGGCGUUGUCGUCCGAAUACAUAUUGGUUUUCGCACUCUAACUUUAGUUUAAGUGAAUGGAUCUUUUUGAAAUUUGACCAUAAGGUUAAAUACCACAAAAGGAAGGUUGGGAUUGAUUUUGGGGGUUAUGGUACCAACAGUUAAGGAAUAAGGGGCCAAAAAGGGGCCAAAAAUGAGCAUUUUCUAGUUUCCAGACAAUAACUGUGGAACGGUGUAUGGAUCUCUCUGAAAUUAUACUACAAGUUUCCAUACCACAAAUUGAUGGUUAGGAUUUGCUUUGGGGGGUUAUGGCUCAAACCGUUUAGGAAUUAGGGGCAAAAAAGGGGGAAAAACAAGGUUGUCCUGGUUAAUGGACAAAUACUUUAGUACAAAACAUAAUUUAAAGCAGUGUAAGGGAGAUAAAUCAAAUACAUCAUUGAAAUUAUCUCCCUUACACUGCUUUUAAAUUAUGUAUAAAGUAAUGGUUAAUGAACAAUAAAGAUAAUCUAAAACAGUGCAAGGGAGGUAAUCCAAAUACAACGUUUUGGUUACUUCCCUUACACUGCUUUUAAAUUAUGUUUAAAGAAAUGCAUAUUUAUAAAGGAAGACCAGUAAAAAUAUCUGCAAAUGUUUUCAUCUUUUUUUUUUACAAAAAAAUCCAUAUGAAAGAUUUGACACUAUAUUUUUAUUAAUUCUAUUAUAAAAUAGAUUAAGUUAGCACUAUGGUAAAUUUAAAUGGGUAAUUAUGGUUGCCAACUCCAUUGGAAAUUUGAAUUGAGAUUAUGACCAUAUCUUGAGGGAAAGAAUUUUUUUGGGGGAAAAAGGGGGGGGGGGGGAUAAAAAGAAAUUGUGGGGGGCCAAUUUUUUCUCAUUUCACAUUUCAGAAAUUAAAAAGAAUUAUUCUUCAAAUAUUAUUUUUUUUUCAAAUUUCAAAUAUUGAAAAAUUUCAAGAAGUAAUCUUUAAUUGCACAGUAUGGCGCAUUAGAUUUGUAAAAUCUUUGAUCACAUUUAUUUAUUUGUUAUGCCGAAUCUAACAGUGUAUUUAGAUUUUUAAUUUUGGGUCCAGUUUUCAAAUUGGUCUACAUUAAUGUCCAAAGGGUCCAAAAUUAAACUUUGUUUGAUUUUAGCAAAAAUUGAAUAUAUGAGGUUCUUUGAUAUGCUGAAUCUAAACAUGUAUUUAGAUUUUUGAUUUUUGGCCCAGUUUUCAAGUUGGUCCAAAUUGGGGUCCAAAAUUAAACUUUGUUUGAUUUCAACAAAAAUUGAAUAUAUGGGGUUCUUUGAUAUGCUGAAUCUAACCAUGUAUUUAGAUUUUUUAUUUGUGGACCCCGUUAUCUAAUUGGUUCAUAUUGAGGUCAAAAGGGUCCAAAAUUAAACUUUGUUUGAUUUCAUCUAAAAUUGAAUUAUUGGGGUUCUUUGAUAUUCCAAAUCUAACCGUGUAUUUAGGUUUUUAAUUUUGGGUCCUGUUUUUUAAAUUGGUCUACAUUGAGGUCCAAAGGGUCCAAAAUUAAACUUAGUUUGAUUUUAACAAAAAUUGAAUUCUUGGGGUUCUUUGAUAUGCUGAAUCUAAACAUGUGUUUAGAUUUUUGAUUAUGGGCCCAGUUUUCAAGUUGGUCCAAGUUGGGGUCCAAAAUUAAACUUUGUUUGAUUUUAACAAAAAUUGAAUAUAUGGGGUUCUUUGAUAUGCUGAAUCUAACCAUGUAUUUUGAUUUUGGACAUUGGACCAUAAUAGGUAAAUUAAAAAAAUUCAAGUUCUUAGACCACAUUCUUUCUGUGUCAGAAACCUAUGCUGUGUCAAAUAUUUAAUAACAAUCCAAAUUCUGAGCUGUAUCAAGCUUGAAUGAUGUGUCCAUACUAGCCCCAACUGUUCAGGGUUUGACCUCUGCGGUCGUAUCAAGCUGCGCCCCAGCGAAGCAUUUUAUUUCAAAAUGCCUUCACAUAUUGAGCUGAUAUUUAGUAUGUGAGUCUACUAUGAUGAGUUACAGAUCAGAUUUCCUUUUGGUUCUGCUCUGCUGAUUUUUACCAAAUUAACGUGCUUUGGACUUUGAAAAUUUGACGAAAAUAGCAGUUAUACGAACUUUUUUUCUAAAAAUCUUCACAUAUCAAGCUUAUUUUUAGUAUGUAAGUUUACUAUGAUGAGUUACAGAUCAAGUUUAUGUUUGGUUCUGCUCUGCUGAUUUUUGCAAAUGAAAGUUUUGUGAAAACAACAGUUAUACGGACUUUCAUUCUCAAAUUUCCACUCUUAAAAUGGCUUCAAGCUUUUUUUGCGAACGUGGCCAUUCAUGUCAUUCUGACACAUCUAGUUUUAUUUUCAUGUCAGUAACCUAGAAAAAAUGGAAAAAUCUUUGACAACUAGAUAGGCACAUGUAAGUGAACGGAAUUGAUGACUGAAUAAUUAACAUUCAAUACUGUGGAUUCAUUAUUAUUCGUUGUAUACCAACUUUCGUGGAUUUCGUGGUUACCUGGGAACCACGAAUUCCAAUGUACAACGAAUUACAAUUUUUUUAUAAGGAUAUAUGUAGACUUUGGCAAAA